rnacentral:rRNA from 1 species
CGACGUGAGGAACCUGCCUCAAAGAGGGGGACAACAGUUGGAAACGACUGCUAAUACCGCAUAAGCCCACAGCUCGGCAUCGAGCAGAGGGAAAAGGAGUGAUCCGCUUUGAGAUGGCCUCGCGUCCGAUUAGCUAGUUGGUGAGGUAAUGGCCCACCAAGGCGACGAUCGGCAGCCGGACUGAGAGGUUGAACGGCCACAUUGGGACUGAGACACGGCCCAG